AACGAACGCUGGCGGCGUGUUUAAGACAUGCAAGUCGCACGGGAUAAGACAUGUAGUAAUACUUGUUUUAUUUAGUGGCGCACGGGUGAGUAACACGUGAAUUACAUGCCCUAUAGUGGGGAAUAGCCCAGGGAAACUUGGAUUAUUACCCCAUGGUAUCGAAAGAUUAAAGGUGGCCGCAAGGCUGUCGCUAUAGGAUUGGUUCGAGCCCUAUCAGCUUGUUGGUGAGGUAACGGAUCACCAAGGCAAUGAGGGGUACCUGGUCUGAGAGGACGAUCAGGCACACUGGAACUGAGACACGGUCCAGACACCUACGGGUGGCAGCAGUCGAGAAUAAUUCACAAUGGGGGCAACCCUGAUGGUGCAACGCCGCGUGGAGGAUGACGGUCUUCGGAUUGUAAACUCCUGUCAUCUGGGAGAAAGACCUGACGGUAAAUAGCCGGCAGGGUUGAUAGUACCAGAAGAGGAAGGGACGGCUAACUUCGUGCCAGCCGCCGCAGUAA
rnacentral:rRNA from 1 species